AAAGCUUCAUGCCUAUUAAGUGUUUGAUAAAAUGCUUAGAUGAACAAAACAUGGAUAUGGUUGCUAAUAUAGAAUCCCUAUGACUUGUAUUGCUAUAGAUUGAAGUUGAAGGGAUUGAAAGACAUUGUGAUACGCUCAAAAGCGGGAGGUUAAGGUACGGAGUUACAGGACGACGCUUCUGAUCAUUAGGAUUUACUCGUACCAGCUUAUCGGUGAGCCCCAUCUCAUUCGGGGUUUAAACAUUGUAUUUCUCUGUUUAGUUUUGCAUGUAAAGGUAUGCUGGGGGCCUUGUCCCAGUAAUUAUGUUUUCCAGUCAGACUCAUGAUAGAGGUUUCAUAGACUAGACCAGUCAGUUAUGUUAUGUCAGACAUUUGGAGUCGUAUAGCCAUUUUGGCUCACUCAUGUUUUAAACAAGUACUUUAUUAAGUAUUAUGAAUUAUUACGUUUUACAAA